GCCUGGGUGGCUAAGUUGGUUAAGCAUCUGACUUCGGCCCAGGUCAUGAUCUUGCAGUUUGUGAGUUCGAGCCCCGCGUCAGGCU
rnacentral:tRNA from 1 species